rnacentral:rRNA from 1 species
UACGGAGGGUGCAAGCGUUUAUCCGGAUUCACUGGGUUUAAAGGGUGCGUAGGUGGGUUGGUAAGUCAGUGGUGAAAUCUCCAGGCUUAACUUGGAAACUGCCAUUGAUACUAUCAAUCUUGAAUACCGUGGAGGUCAGCGGAAUAUGUCAUGUAGCGGUGAAAUGCUUAGAUAUGACAUAGAACACCAAUUGCGAAGGCAGCUGGCUACACGAAUAUUGACACUGAUGCACGAAAGCGUGGGGAUCAAACAGG